rnacentral:rRNA from 1 species
AGUGAACGCUGGCGGCAGGCCUAACACAUGCAAGUCGAGCGGAUGAAGGGAGCUUGCUCCUGGAUUCAGCGGCGGACGGGUGAGUAAUGCCUAGGAAUCUGCCUGGUAGUGGGGGAUAACGUCCGGAAACGGGCGCUAAUACCGCAUACGUCCUGAGGGAGAAAGUGGGGGAUCUUCGGACCUCACGCUAUCAGAUGAGCCUAGGUCGGAUUAGCUAGUUGGUGGGGUAAAGGCCUACCAAGGCGACGAUCCGUAACUGGUCUGAGAGGAUGAUCAGUCACACUGGAACUGAGACACGGUCCAGACUCCUACGGGAGGCAGCAGUGGGGAAUAUUGGACAAUGGGCGCAAGCCUGAUCCAGCCAUGCCGCGUGUGUGAAGAAGGUCUUCGGAUUGUAAAGCACUUUAAGUUGGGAGGAAGGGCAGUAAGUUAAUACCUUGCUGUUUUGACGUUACCAACAGAAUAAGCACCGGCUAACUUCGUG